UACGGAGGGUGCAAGCGUUAUUCGGAAUUACUGGGCGUAAAGGGCGUGCAGGCGGGAGCGAAAGUCUGAUGUGAAAGCCCGGGGCUCAACCCCGGAAGGGCAUUGGAAACUGCGCUUCUUGAGUUCCGGAGAGGAAAGGAGAAUUCCCGGUGUAGAGGUGAAAUUCGUAGAGAUCGGGAGGAACACCAGUGGCGAAGGCGCCCUUCUGGACGGCAACUGACGCUGAGACGCGAAAGCGUGGGGAGCAAACAGG
rnacentral:rRNA from 1 species